GUCUUCGUGGGGGAGUGAACCCUACUGCCGGCUGGUAGGGUAUAGAGGUAGGUAACAAGCCAUCGGGAGAGACGGUGGUUCGACUCCGCCCGAAGACA